rnacentral:rRNA from 1 species
CUACGGGCCGCACCAGUGAGGAAUAUUGCACAAUGGGGGGAACCCUGAUGCAGCAACGCCGCGUGGAGGAUGACGCAUUUCGGUGUGUGAACUCCUUUUAUAUGUCAAGAAAAUGACGGUAGCAUAUGAAUAAGCACCGGCUAACUCGCGUGCCAGCAGCCGCGGUAAUACGGAGGGUGCAAGCGUUACUCGGAAUCACUGGGCGUAAAGGACGCGUAGGCGGGUUGGAAAGUCAGGUGUGAAAUCCUACAGCUUAACUGUAGAACUGCACUUGAAACUUCUAAUCUAGAGUAUGGGAGGGGGAGAUGGAAUUAGUGGUGUAGGGGUAAAAUCCGUAGAUAUCACUAGGAAUACCUAAAGCGAAGGCGAUCUCCUGGAACAUUACUGACGCUAAGGCGUGAAAGCGUGGGGAGCAAACAGGAUUAGAUACCCCCGUAGUC